rnacentral:tRNA from 1 species
UGCCCCAUUGGCGGAAUUGGUAGACGCGCGCGAUUCAAAAUCGCGUUCCUUCGGGAGUAUCUGUUCGACUCAGAUAUGGGGCACCAC